AGUGGCGGACGGGUGAGUAACGCGUAAGAAUCUAACUUCAGGACGGGGACAACAGUGGGAAACGACUGCUAAUACCCGAUGUGCCGCGAGGUGAAACCUAAUUGGCCUGAAGAAGAGCUUGCGUCUGAUUAGCUAGUUGGUGGGGUAAGAGCCUACCAAGGCGACGAUCAGUAGCUGGUCUGAGAGGAUGAGCAGCCACACUGGGACUGAGACACGGCCCAGACUCCUACGGGAGGCAGCAGUGGGGAAUUUUCCGCAAUGGGCGAAAGCCUGACGGAGCAACGCCGCGUGAGGGAGGAAGGUCUUUGGAUUGUAAACCUCUUUUCUCAAGGAAGAAGUUCUGACGGUACUUGAGGAAUCAGCCUCGGCUAACUCCGUGCCAGCAGCCGCGGUAAUACGGGGGAGGCAAGCGUUAUCCGGAAUUAUUGGGCGUAAAGCGUCCGCAGGUGGUCAGCCAAGUCUGCCGUCAAAUCAGGUUGCUUAACGACCUAAAGGCGGUGGAAACUGGCAGACUAGAGAGCAGUAGGGGUAGCAGGAAUUCCCAGUGUAGCGGUGGAAUGCGUAGAGAUUGGGAAGAACAUCGGUGGCGAAAGCGUGCUACUGGGCUGUAUCUGACACUCAGGGACGAAAGCUAGGGGAGCGAAAGGGAUUAGAUACCCCUGUAGUCCUAGCCGUAAACGAUGGAUACUAGGCGUGGCUU
rnacentral:rRNA from 1 species